rnacentral:misc_RNA from 1 species
ACCUCCAUGGCUCAUAUUCAACACAUCAUAUCACUUCGCCUGAGAUAGGACAUGCAAAAGUACCAUUCUCUCGCCCAUAAAUCACCUAUUCAUUGCUUAUACCCUGUCAGCUUACUGGAGAUGAUGUAGGAAAGGAAAAGGACGUCAACAAUCAUUCAAGUAAAAAAUUCUAAGCGAAAACUCAAAUUACUAUCCCAAGUCUCUAAUUAUUAGUUAUGUGAAGGACCCAAAGCACUAAAAAAUGUAGAGGUGAAAAAUUAAUCAAGCAAAAAGGCAAUUAGCACAUCCCAAAUCAAAGGGGAAAGAAAAAUCUAUGCAACUCAUAGAUACAGCAACUACCAAGAACUUCAACACCAUAUAAGCAGAGGCAUUUUACCAAUUAAAAACAUACAUAUCCACAUACAUAAAAAACACGAUUCAUUGCUAAAUUUUUAAAUCAAUCCACCGUUUUCCUAGCAACCAAAUGAAAAUUCAAGCAAACCCUAGACAAAAGCAACCCAAAAAUAGCUGAAUGCUUACCG